UCCGGCGUUGAAUCCAAUUAAACCGCAAGCUCCACCCGUUGUGGUGCUCCCCCGCCAAUUCCUUUAAGUUUCAGCCUUGCGGCCGUACUUCCCAGGUGGCUCGCUUCACGGCUUCCCUACGGCACCGACAACGGUCGCACCGUGGCCGACACCUAGCGAGUAUCGUUUACGGCUAGGACUACCCGGGUAUCUAAUCCGGUUCGUGCCCCUAGCUUUCGUCCCUUGCCGUCAGGUCCGUUCUGGUGAGACGCCUUCGCCACUGGUGGUCCUUCAAGGAUUACAAGAUUUCACCCCUACCCCUGAAGUACCUCUCACCUCUACCGGCCUCGAGCCAGACAGUAUCUCCUGAAAGCCUGACAGUUAAGCUGCCAGAUUUCUCAAGAGACUUAUCCGGCCGGCUACAGACCCUUUAGACCCAAUAAUAACGGUUACCACUCGAGCCGCCGGUGUUACCGCGGCGGCUGGCACCGGUCUUGCCCGGCCCUUGCUAUGAAAUGCUUUUUAGGCAUCUCGACAGCCAGAUUUGUAACCUGGCACUCGAGGUUCCCUUAUCGCUGUUGCCAGCAUUGUAAAGUUUUCGCGCCUGCUGCACCCCGUAGGGCCUGGAUUCGUGUCUCAGAAUCCAUCUCCGGGCUCUUGCUCUCACAACCCGUACCCGUCGUAGGCUAGUAGGUACGCUACACCCACUACUACCUGAUAGGCCGCAGACCCAUCCUUAGGCGCCGGAGCUUUUAAUCUCGGUGCAUUCCGGCAGCCGAGACUUAUAGGGGAUUAUACCCAGUUUCCCGGGUUUAUACCCAACCUAAGGGCAGGUUGUCCACGUGUUACUGAGCAGUACGCCAUGUAUUGCUACAUUCGACUCGCAUGGCUUAGUCGAACCUCGAUAGCAGUAACCUCUGGCAGGAUCAACCG
rnacentral:rRNA from 1 species